rnacentral:rRNA from 1 species
UUAAGCGACUAAGCGUACACGGUGGAUGCCCUGGCAGUCAGAGGCGAUGAAGGACGUGCUAAUCUGCGAUAAGCGUCGGUAAGGUGAUAUGAACCGUUAUAACCGGCGAUUUCCGAAUGGGGAAACCCAGUGUGUUUCGACACACUAUCAUUAACUGAAUCCAUAGGUUAAUGAGGCGAACCGGGGGAACUGAAACAUCUAAGUACCCCGAGGAAAAGAAAUCAACCGAGAUUCCCCCAGUAGCGGCGAGCGAACGGGGAGGAGCCCAGAGCCUGAAUCAGUGUGUGUGUUAGUGGAAGCGUCUGGAAAGGCGCGCGAUACAGGGUGACAGCCCCGUACACAAAAAUGCACAUGCUGUGAGCUCGAUGAGUAGGGCGGGACACGUGGUAUCCUGUCUGAAUAUGGGGGGACCAUCCUCCAAGGCUAAAUACUCCUGACUGACCGAUAGUGAACCAGUACCGUGAGGGAAAGGCGAAAAGAACCCCGGCGAGGGGAGUGAAAAAGAACCUGAAACCGUGUACGUACAAGCAGUGGGAGCCUCUUUUAUGGGGUGACUGCGUACCUUUUGUAUAAUGGGUCAGCGACUUAUAUUCUGUAGCAAGGUUAACCGAAUAGGGGAGCCGAAGGGAAACCGAGUCUUAACUGGGCGUUAAGUUGCAGGGUAUAGACCCGAAACCCGGUGAUCUAGCCAUGGGCAGGUUGAAGGUUGGGUAACACUAACUGGAGGACCGAACCGACUAAUGUUGAAAAAUUAGCGGAUGACUUGUGGCUGGGGGUGAAAGGCCAAUCAAACCGGGAGAUAGCUGGUUCUCCCCGAAAGCUAUUUAGGUAGCGCCUCGUGAAUUCAUCUCCGGGGGUAGAGCACUGUUUCGGCAAGGGGGUCAUCCCGACUUACCAACCCGAUGCAAACUGCGAAUACCGGAGAAUGUUAUCACGGGAGACACACGGCGGGUGCUAACGUCCGUCGUGAAGAGGGAAACAACCCAGACCGCCAGCUAAGGUCCCAAAGUCAUGGUUAAGUGGGAAACGAUGUGGGAAGGCCCAGACAGCCAGGAUGUUGGCUUAGAAGCAGCCAUCAUUUAAAGAAAGCGUAAUAGCUCACUGGUCGAGUCGGCCUGCGCGGAAGAUGUAACGGGGCUAAACCAUGCACCGAAGCUGCGGCAGCGACGCUGAUGCGUUGUUGGGUAGGGGAGCGUUCUGUAAGCCUGCGAAGGUGUGCUGUGAGGCAUGCUGGAGGUAUCAGAAGUGCGAAUGCUGACAUAAGUAACGAUAAAGCGGGUGAAAAGCCCGCUCGCCGGAAGACCAAGGGUUCCUGUCCAACGUUAAUCGGGGCAGGGUGAGUCGACCCCUAAGGCGAGGCCGAAAGGCGUAGUCGAUGGGAAACAGGUUAAUAUUCCUGUACUUGGUGUUACUGCGAAGGGGGGACGGAGAAGGCUAUGUUGGCCGGGCGACGGUUGUCCCGGUUUAAGCGUGUAGGCUGGUUUUCCAGGCAAAUCCGGAAAAUCAAGGCUGAGGCGUGAUGACGAGGCACUACGGUGCUGAAGCAACAAAUGCCCUGCUUCCAGGAAAAGCCUCUAAGCAUCAGGUAACAUCAAAUCGUACCCCAAACCGACACAGGUGGUCAGGUAGAGAAUACCAAGGCGCUUGAGAGAACUCGGGUGAAGGAACUAGGCAAAAUGGUGCCGUAACUUCGGGAGAAGGCACGCUGAUAUGUAGGUGAAGUCCCUCGCGGAUGGAGCUGAAAUCAGUCGAAGAUACCAGCUGGCUGCAACUGUUUAUUAAAAACACAGCACUGUGCAAACACGAAAGUGGACGUAUACGGUGUGACGCCUGCCCGGUGCCGGAAGGUUAAUUGAUGGGGUCAGCGCAAGCGAAGCUCUUGAUCGAAGCCCCGGUAAACGGCGGCCGUAACUAUAACGGUCCUAAGGUAGCGAAAUUCCUUGUCGGGUAAGUUCCGACCUGCACGAAUGGCGUAAUGAUGGCCAGGCUGUCUCCACCCGAGACUCAGUGAAAUUGAACUCGCUGUGAAGAUGCAGUGUACCCGCGGCAAGACGGAAAGACCCCGUGAACCUUUACUAUAGCUUGACACUGAACAUUGAGCCUUGAUGUGUAGGAUAGGUGGGAGGCUUUGAAGUGUGGACGCCAGUCUGCAUGGAGCCGACCUUGAAAUACCACCCUUUAAUGUUUGAUGUUCUAACGUGGACCCGUAAUCCGGGUUGCGGACAGUGUCUGGUGGGUAGUUUGACUGGGGCGGUCUCCUCCUAAAGAGUAACGGAGGAGCACGAAGGUUGGCUAAUCCUGGUCGGACAUCAGGAGGUUAGUGCAAUGGCAUAAGCCAGCUUGACUGCGAGCGUGACGGCGCGAGCAGGUGCGAAAGCAGGUCAUAGUGAUCCGGUGGUUCUGAAUGGAAGGGCCAUCGCUCAACGGAUAAAAGGUACUCCGGGGAUAACAGGCUGAUACCGCCCAAGAGUUCAUAUCGACGGCGGUGUUUGGCACCUCGAUGUCGGCUCAUCACAUCCUGGGGCUGAAGUAGGUCCCAAGGGUAUGGCUGUUCGCCAUUUAAAGUGGUACGCGAGCUGGGUUUAGAACGUCGUGAGACAGUUCGGUCCCUAUCUGCCGUGGGCGCUGGAGAACUGAGGGGGGCUGCUCCUAGUACGAGAGGACCGGAGUGGACGCAUCACUGGUGUUCGGGUUGUCAUGCCAAUGGCACUGCCCGGUAGCUAAAUGCGGAAGAGAUAAGUGCUGAAAGCAUCUAAGCACGAAACUUGCCCCGAGAUGAGUUCUCCCUGACUCCUUGAGAGUCCUGAAGGAACGUUGAAGACGACGACGUUGAUAGGCCGGGUGUGUAAGCGCAGCGAUGCGUUGAGCUAACCGGUACUAAUGAACCGUGAGGCUUAACCUU